GAAGAUACAGCUCAGUGGUAGAGUGCAUGUUUAGCAUGCAUGAGGUCCUGGGUUCAAUCCCCAGUGCCUCA
rnacentral:tRNA from 1 species